UCAGUCGGCCGGACGGCCGCUGCCGCGAGAGCCGAAAGGCUGCGGGGGAGGAAAGUCCGGGCUCCAUGGAGACACGGUGCCGGGUAACACCCGGCGGGGGCGACCCCAGGGACAGUGCCACAGAAAGCAAACCGCCCGUGCUGCCUCGCUCCGGCGAGGGCCACCACGGGUAAGGGUGAAAGGGUGGGGUAAGAGCCCACCGCGCGACCGGUAACGGAAGCGGCACGGUAAACCCCACCGGGAGCAAAACCGAAUAGGGAUGGCACAGGGUCCCGCAAGGGAGCCGGGUUGGUUUCCAGGCCGGCCAUCCGGGUAGGUUGCGCGAGGCGUCUGGCAACAGGCGUCCCAGAUGAAUGGCCGUCGCGUGGACCGGUCAAACGGUCUGCCUUACAGAACCCGGCUUACAGGCCGACUGACACU
rnacentral:RNase_P_RNA from 2 species